AACGAACGCUGGCGGCAUGCCUAACACAUGCAAGUCGAACGAGACCUUCGGGUCUAGUGGCGCCCGGGUGCGUAACGCGUGGGAACCUGCCCUUAGGUUCGGCCUAACUCCCCGAAAGGGGUGCUAAUACCGGAUAAUGUCUUCGGCCCAAAGAUUUAUCGCCUUUGGAUGGGCCCGCGUUGGAUUAGCUAGUUGGUAGGGUAAAAGCCUACCAAGGCGACGAUCCAUAGCUGGUCUGAGAGGAUGAUCAGCCACACUGGGACUGAGACACGGCCCAGACUCCUACGGGAGGCAGCAGUGGGGAAUAGUGGACAAUGGGCGAAAGCCUGAUCCAGCAAUGCCGCGUGAGUGAUGAAGGCCUGAGGGUUGUAAAGCGCUUUUACCCGGGAUGAUAAUGACAGUACCGGGAGAAUAAGCUCCGGCUAACUCCGUG
rnacentral:rRNA from 1 species